UUUUGUAAUGUUUUUAAUAAGUAAAAAAAAUAAUUAUUGUUAAAUGUAAAGAUAAUCUUUUCGAAAUUUUUAAUCAGUUAAUAUAACUGUUAUUCUACAAAUAAUAUUAAAGUGACAUAAGGUAAAUAUUAUAGCUUUAUAAGUUUUUCAAUAAAUAUUAAAUUUCCUUUAUUUCAUCAUAAAAAAAUAAAAAAAGUUAAUUUCUAGAGAUCAAGAAAACAUAAAAAACAAACAAAUAAGUUAACAAUAUUCAAAGAACAAAUUAUUUUAAGAAUAUUAAUUAGAAAAACUUUAAGGUAUAAAAUUUAACAGAAUUAUAUGUAUUUUGUGCAUGCGCAUUGAACACUUCCUGUGACACGUAUAUUUUUUGUAACAGGUACUUGCUGACAUCAGUAUGGCUUGGUCUUCGUGACGUGUCGGGAAUUUCAAAUCGUUGAUAUAUGAACAACAAGACAACUGUCAUGAAAUGCAUAGGAUAAGAAUUCCAAUGAAAGAUGUUCUCUAGUGUACUUCGUUGUGUCCCGCUGUCCAAAAUCGUCGCUUCGACAUCGCUGGUCUUAGGCGCCAAAUCAACCGUUGUCGUAUAACGUAGGAAGAACUCACGGAUGUUACAUACUUUUAAUAUACAAAUACAAACACACAUGUGAACGAGUUGAAUACCAAAACUGAACUCCCUCUCUGACAUUUGAGAAUAGUAUAUAUAAUAUCAACCUGUCCUAAGGACAUUUUAUAAUGUAUAUAAAUACACACGUUUUAGAGUUACAUAUAUAAAUCAUCUUGACAUAAGCUAGUCCAUAUGCAUCCUGAACUAUAAUACUCAUAAAUCAUGUCAUGUUCCAUAGUGCACAUUAUGAAAUAAAAACCUUAAUAUAUGUAUAUACAUGUUGACUUGUCAUUCUUUUUGAAUAUAGCGUGUAUGACUCAUUAGCCUGUGCAACCAGCUAUACGA